rnacentral:rRNA from 1 species
GUACGUUUCAAGCAGUGAGGAAGGUGGAGUCGUUAAUAGCGCCUCAUUUGACGUUUAGACUGCAGAAGAAGCACCGGCUAACUCCGUGCCAGCAGCCGCGGUAAUACGGAGGGUGCGAGCGUUAAUCGGAAUUACUGGGCGUAAAGCGCAUGCAGGUGGUUGUUAAGUCAGAUGUGAAAGACCGGGGCGUCAACCUCGGAAUUGCAUUUGAAACUGGCAGACUAGAGUACUGUAGAGGGGGUAGAAUUUCAGGUGUAGCGGUGAAAAUGCGUAGAGAUCUGAAGGAAUACCGGUGGCGAAGGCGGCCCCCUCGGACAGAAUACUGACACUCAGAUGCGAAAGCGUGGGGAGCAAACAGGAUUAGAUACCCUGGUAG